rnacentral:rRNA from 1 species
AGAAAGUGGAGCAAUCCAUGAGUAAAGUGGCGACCGGGUGAGUAACAAUGACUAACCUACCUUCGAGUGGGGGAUAACCUCGGGAAACCGGGGCUAAUACCGCAUAAUAUCUUUGGAGUGGAAAUUCUGGAGAUCAAAGGAGCAAUUCGCUGGAAGAGGGGGUCGCGGCUGAUUAGCUAGUUGGCGGGGUAACGGCCCACCAAGGCUUAGUCGGUAGCCGGCCUGAGAGGGCGCACGGCCACACUGGAACUGAAACACGGUCCAGACUCCUACGGGAGGCAGCAGUGGGGAAUUUUGCGCAAUGGGGGAAACCCUGACGCAGCAACGCCGCGUGGAGGAUGAAGUCCCUUGGGACGUAAACUCCUUUCGACCCGGACGAUAAUGACGGUACGGGUGGAAGAAGCCCCGGCUAACUUCGUGCCAGCACCCGCGGUAAUACGAGGGGGGCAAGCGUUGUUCGGAAUUAUUGGGCGUAAAGGGCGCGUAGGCGGUGCGGUAAGUCACCUGUGAAACCUCUAGGCUCAACCUAGAGCCUGCAGGCGAAACUGCCGUGCUUGAGGGUGGGAGAGGUGCGUGGAAUUCCCGGUGUAGCGGUGAAAUGCGUAGAU